rnacentral:misc_RNA from 1 species
GAUGAAGAACGUAGCGAAAUGCGGUACUUGGUGUGAAUUGCAGAAUCCCGUGAACCAUCGAGUCUUUGAACGCAAGUUGCGCCCGAAGCCAUCAGGUUGAGGGCACGUCUGCCUGGGCGUCACAUAUCGUUGCUCGAUGCCUAUCGCAUUGCGAUAGGACUUAGGGCGAAUGAUGGCUUCCCGUGAGCGUUGUUGCCUCGCGGUUGGUUGAAAAUCGAGUCCUUGGUAGGGUGUGCCAUGAUAGAUGGUGGUCGAGUUAGCACGAGACCAAUCAUGUGCAUGCUCCCCAAAAUAUGGCCUCUGUGACCCACACGCGUCUUUUGACGCUCAUGACGAGACCUCAGGUCAGGCGGGGCUACCCGCUGAAUUUAAGCAUAUCAAUAAGCGGAGGA